rnacentral:lncRNA from 1 species
UUUUUUUCGUAGAACCAGGGUCUUGCUAUGCUGCCCAGCUAGUCUCAAACUCCUGGGCUCAAGUGAUCCUCCCACCUUGGCCUCCCAAAAUGCUAAGACUCUAGGCAUGAGCUACUGCACACAGCUGAAAUGCCCCUCUGAAGCACAUGGGGCCUGGCUUGUUGGCCUUAUUUUCCAGAUAAGUGACUGAAUCUCAGAGAAGAAAAGGGACUGGCCAAGGCCACCCAGGAGGGUGAGACCAUCUCUCCUCUUUCCUCUUGUGCCCUUUCCUACAAUCCCUUCUCCAGACCACAUGCGAAGUGAGCUUGUUGUCUAGCAGUAAGUGGAUCCCGUAGAUGCCUGCUCAAAACCUUCUAGAGGCUUCCUUGCCCACACAGUUGAAUCUCAGCUCCGCAUGGCCUGGCCCUGGCGACUUCUUCCCCACUGUCAGCCCCUGCCACUCUCUCUUCCUCGCCCAGGCCACACUGCCCACCGUCCUUUGUGGCUGUUCUUGGAAUGCACCAAACUUGACUUGAGGACUAUGCCCUCGCCGUCUCCCUUGCCUGAUAUGCCCUCCACACACCUUGGGGACUAUGCCCUUACCAUCCCCCUUGCCUGGCAUGCCCUCCACAUGCCCUGGCGUGCUCGUCACCUGUCCAGCUCUUCCAUGUCCUUCAGGUGGCAGCUCAGAGGUCACUUUCUGGAGGAGCUGUGGUCGGUGCCACACUAGGAUCUUAUGACACUCACUCUCUGGCAAACACCUGGGACGUUGCCUGGGGGCUGUCUCUGUCUUUCACAAGCCUGAAGACCCAGCAGUUGAGGCCAAAGGUCUGGAGUGGUGAAGCCCCCAGAUGCUGCACCCAACCAAUGGCUUUCAGGAGCUGAUGUAGCCCCAUUCAUCCAACACAUCACUCCAUCAAGCUCCUUCCCAUCUUCAUCUGGAAGUAUCCAGAUGACUUGCUUGUUGACUGUGUGUUUCCCGACUCGAAUGUGAGCUUCUUGAAAACAAGUUCAUGAUCACCCUCUUCCCCCAGUCCAUGUCCCCAGCCCCAGGACAGCUGCUGACCCAUAGCAGGUCCCCAUAGCAGGUCCUCUGUACAUAACUGA